AUGCCAUGGCGAGCUCCGGGCUCUGGUGUUCUUGGGCCUUGCCCUGGGACUCCGCCACAACAGGCGAUGUACGCUGCUCCGACCCCAACUGCUCCUGGUGCGUACGGCUACGGGCCGCCGUCCGCCUACGCCACCCCUCCCGGCGCGCCACAGCAGCCUCUAGACAUGACUUCCCUUCAGGCUGCACUCCACAGCGCCACCGCAGGGCUGUCAUCCUCUGGGAGCGCUCCUGAGUGGUACAUGGACUCCGGCGCGGCAUCGCACAUGACGAACACCCCCGGUACUCUUCACACUCUUCUCCCGUCCACUUCCUCCUCUCACAUUGUAGUUGGUAGCGGUGAGCAUCUUCCUAUCACACACACGGGCGCCGGCUCGCUCAUCUCCGGUACCUCGCCCAUCCAACUCCGCAACAUACUUGUUUCGCCCUCUUUGAUCAAGAAUCUCCUUUCCGUUCGUCAAAUUUGUCGUGACAAUCCCGUUUCAGUUGAAUUUGACUUAUUUGGCUUCUCUGUCAAGGACCUUCGAACUCGGGCGGUGAUCCUGCGUUGUGAUUCCACCGGCGACCUCUACUCCGUGACGACGCCACGACCCACCGCUCUUCCCUUCGCCGGCGUCGUCACCACUACUCGCCUGCACCAGCGGCUUGGUCACCUCGGUUCUGCGCAGCUCCGGCUUGUCGACAGUAGUUUUUCUUUCAGCAAAAGUGCUCCACAUCCUUGCCACGCCUGUCGCCUUGGCAAGCAUGUGCGCCUCCCAUUUUCAGCUUCAGACACUUGUACUUAUUUUCCCUUUGAACUACUGCAUCUUGAUGUAUGGACGUCACCGGUUUCUAGCAUCUCUGGUUACCAGUUCUAUCUAGUGAUCCUCGAUGGCUACACACACUACGUCUAG
rnacentral:rRNA from 1 species